CGUUUCCGAUUAUUUUUGGGUCCCCCUUCGUAUGUUGUCUCAAGGCUGCUGAUGAAUACCAGUCAGGACUCGGAUGUGUGGGCAUUUCACACAGAUACUGCAGUACAGGGGAGAGCUUUAGUGUGAUGACACACGGAGCAGUUUUUGCCGACUCGGCCUGUCGUCUGCUGGCAGUGCAGCGAGCGGUUUGAAGACUUCGUGCGUGCUCUUGCUCCAUAGAUUGAAUACAUUCUCAGCAGUUUCUGACUCAGCGAAUGAAUCAAUGAAUGAUGGAGAAUAGGAUUGACAUCGAAAAAUUAAUCAGUGAGGUCCAUGCCCAACCAGCAAUAUGGGAUAUGACGCAUUGUGAUUAUAUGGACAAAACAAAAAGGAAAAUUUCUUAGGAAGAAAUGUGAAUAAAUUUGCAGAAGAGGACACGCCUGUACGAGGGGCGUUCAAGUUCUAAGGUCUCCGAUUUUUUUUUCUCAGGACUGGGAGCAGAUAGACACAUGCGG